rnacentral:rRNA from 1 species
GACGAACGCUGGCGGCGUGCCUAAUACAUGCAAGUAGAACGCACAGUUUAUACCGUAGCUUGCUACACCAUAGACUGUGAGUUGCAAACGGGUGAGUAACGCGUAGGUAACCUGCCUGGUAGCGGGUGAUAACUAUUGGAAACGAUAGCUAAUACCGCAUAAUAUUGAUUAUUGCAUGAUAAUUGAUUGAAAGAUGCUAUUGCAUCACUACCAGAUGGACCUGCGUUGUAUUAGCUAGUAGGUGAGGUAACGGCUCACCUAGGCGACGAUACAUAGCCGACCUGAGAGGGUGAUCGGCCACACUGGGACUGAGACACGGCCCAGACUCAUACGGGAGGCAGCAGUAGGGAAUCUUCGGCAAUGGACGAAAGUCUGACCGAGCAACGCCGCGUGAGUGAAGAAGGUUUUCGGAUCGUAAAGCUCUGUUGUAAGAGAAGAACGGGUGUGAGAGUGGAAAGUUCACACUGUGACGGUAUCUUACCAGAAAGGGACGGCUAACUACGUG